AUCGAACGCUGGCGGCAUGCCUAACACAUGCAAGUCGAACGAGUGGCGGACGGGUGAGUAAUGUCUGGGAAACUGCCCGAUGGAUGGGGAAGACUACGGGAAACAGUAGAUAAUAGCGCAUACCAUCCGUUGUGCCCAGAGUGGAUUAGCUAGUCGGUGGGGUAACGGCUCACCUAGGCGACGAGCCCUAGCUGGCCUGAGAGGAUGACCAGCCACACUGGAACUGAGCCCCGGUCCAGACUCCUACGGGAGGCAGCAGUGGGGAAUAUUGGACAAUGGGCGAAAGCCUGAUGCAGCCAUGCCGCGUGUAUGAAGAAGGCCUUCGGGUUGUAAAGCACUUUCGUCGGGGAGGCGUUACUCGCAGAAGAAGCACCGGCUAACUCCGUGCCAGCAGCCGCGGUAAUAC
rnacentral:rRNA from 1 species